GACGAACGCUGGCGGCGUGCUUAACACAUGCAAGUCGAACGGAGAGGCGAACGGGCGAGUAUUACGUGAGUAACCUGCUCUCAAACGUGUGAUAAGCCUGGGAAACUGGGUCUCAUACUGCAUAGGUGGGGAUGGGCCCGCGGCCUAUCAGCUUGUUGGUGGGGUGGUGGCCUACCAAGGCGGUGAGGGGUAGCCGGCCUGAGAGUGGGGUCGGCCACAUUGGGAGUGGGCUACGGCCCAGAGUGCUACGGGAGGCAGCAGUGGGGGAUAUGACACAAUGGGCGCAAGCCUGCGGCAGGGACGCCGCGUGAGGGAUGAGGGCUUUCGGGUUGUAAGCCUCUUUCGGUACAGAACGGGUAUGUGCAGAGGAAGCGCCGGCUAACUACGUGCCAGCAGCCGCGGUAAUAC
rnacentral:rRNA from 1 species